AGUGAACGCUGGCGGUAGGCCUAACACGUGCAAGUCGAACGGCAGCACAGGAGAGCUUGCUCUCUGGGUGGCGAGUGGCGGACGGGUGAGGAAUACAUCGGAAUCUACUUUUUCGUGGGGGGUAACGUAGGGAAACUUACGCUAAUACCGCAUACGACCUACGGGUGAAAGCAGGGGACCUUCGGGCCUUGCGCGAUUGAAUGAGCCGAUGUCGGAUUAGCUAGUUGGCGGGGUAAAGGCCCACCAAGGCGACGAUCCGUAGCUGGUCUGAGAGGAUGAUCAGCCACACUGGAACUGAGACACGGGCCAGACUCCUACGGGAGGCAGCAGUGGGGAAUAUUGGACAAUGGGCGCAAGCCUGAUCCAGCCAUACCGCGUGGGUGAAGAAGGCCUUCGGGUUGUAAAGCUCUUUCGGCUGAAAAGAAAUCGCACAGGCUAAUACCUUGUGUGGAUGACGGUAUCAGCAUAAGAAGCACCGGCUAACUACGUGCCAGCCGCCGCAGUAA
rnacentral:rRNA from 1 species